UAUAAGAUAGUAUAAUGGAGUACUAAAGAUUUUGAGUCUUUUGGUGCAGGUUCAAGUCCUGUUCUUUUAG
rnacentral:tRNA from 1 species